CGGGGGACACGCCCGGUUCAGGGUACCCCCCAACUUUAAGACCCUAGGCGGGGGUGCUAUGCCAGUCGGUACACGCUGGGAUUUCGGCAGUAGCUCCCGGCCACUGUCCUGGACACGUUUGCACCCUUCCGGUGGUGUAACGGAUGGAUUAAUGUCGUACGGCAAGCGUGUGUGUUUUGACACGCGGUUUUAGGGGGGGCGGAGGGGUGAACAGACUGACCCCAUGCUAACUGCCUCAGGGCGGGCCCCCACGCUUCCUAUCGCAUGUAUACAUCUAUAUGUAUAAGCUCACCAGCUACGAGCGCGAUCGGAGGCCAGGGUGUGCUCGACGGGGACACUUCCGGGCAGGCACGCACGCAUGUGUGCUGAGCUGGGUACAUGGGGACGGAGGUCCCAGAAAACGGGGCCUGACACAGCCCUGAAGCUUUAUAUAGCACAUAUAUGCAUACAAGAUUAUGUUUUGACGACCGCAGCACCGACAGUUGUUGUUCCGACCAGCAUGCUGUAUGCAUGUCCACCGAAUGGUCUUGCCGGCGGGCUACAGCACCUAAUAUAUGCUUUAUAUGCUCUAUCUAGGCGACGGCAAUCUUAAAAGCUAGUCGAGCUGCCCUUUGGAUGAAACCAAAUUCAUGGCGGACCUCUUGAGCAGCGGGGACCCAAACGGACCUGCAACCGCUCCUAAAGUCGCCUACAUGGCAUAUGGAAGCAACCCAGAUGCAUCGGAAGGUGCAACUCUGACUUUGUUGGCGGUCCCAUAGGAAAUGACACUGCUCGCCGAGGCCUGCGAGCCUGCGCUUAUAGGUGCAAUUGCUUUCAUAGGGUGUAAAUAAUCGUAGUCAGGGCUUGUAGGUUCACGCUUAGCGGAUUUGAGCGAACAUGCUCAAAAUUGGUCUCGCGCUCGCGGGACCUUCACGACACCUAGCCCGCUAUUAUGUGUGAACAUAUGCUGCUCACAUACCGAGGGUAACGUGCUUUAUAGAAUUGUAAAUGGUGCUUGUAUGAAUAAGAACGCCCAAUCCUGGGUUUUGACCCCGCCCGAAACCGGGCGUGUCCCCCGUGUGGGGUAGGGUGAAGACAGCGGCGGGUUGGGGGCAUCUUAUGUUGUGCUGCCCACACCCGCCCGGGUGGGUGGGGCACCAGGUUUGGUGAGGCGAUGUUGGACUUGUACUUGACGAGCGUGUGGCGGCCUGUGCUUGGAUGGGGACCUCGGCGGCACCUGCCGUCGCCGCUCCUGGGGCCGGCGUCGCCCCUGGCGGCGGCGGAACGCAUAGCCGCGGCGGUGGCCUUGCUCCCAGGUGGCUGGGAGGCCGCGGCGCGUGCGGCUCGACUGGCUCGCGGGCGGGCGUGGGUCAUGCCGCUUCCUGCGGAUGCCGUGCGACAGGCGGCGGCGGGGGCCUUGACCCAGGUGGUGCGGGGACUGGGCUGGGUCCUGGACGGGGGCCCGCCUCUGCUGCUGUUGAACUACUCCGUGAAGGCAGGAACGGCCAUGCAACUGGGCCCCCAGGUUGCGGCGCUGCGGUCUAAACAUUUGUUGUAUGUGCGUGAUGCUGGUGUUUCUGCGGACGGCGCGCUUGCGGCUGCCGGCGCCUUUGCCGGCACUCUGGCCCGUUUGUGGGCGUUAAAAUGGGAAAAUUAUCACAAGGAAGCGUUGUGGCGGGUGGCGGCCAAUGCGUGCUGGUCGUUCCCCAAAAAUGCCGCCCAGCGUGCAGCUGGGGUGGCAAUGCCCCUGUGCCGGGCGUGUGGGCGGGAUAUGUGUGAUGGGGACCGCCGGCACUACUUUUGGGACUGUGUUGUUGCUCGGGCGCUGCGGGAGAACAUGGCUGUGGCAAUGCUGGGGUCCCCUCCUGACACGGCUGAUGACUGUUUCUCCCGUGCUGACCUUUGGCUGGUGCAGCCGCCUGCUGGGCUGGCGCCGCCGGUGUGGGAUGUAGUGUGUUUGGCUGCGCUGUCUGCCCUUGACUCGGGCCGGCAGCAGGUGAUUAUGACUGGCUUGCGUGUGCGUCGGGCUCUGACGUCGGCGGAAGUCAUGCGCAUCAGUGUGUCCGUUAUUGCUGAUUUCUGGGGCCGGCUGCAAUCAUAUGUCAGUCUCGGCCUCCGCCCGAAAGCCUGGGCCACGGUGCCUGCGCACCAUCCGUUCCUCUCGCGGGGUGCGGGUGACUGUGUGCUGCUAGUGUUGCCUGAUGAUGUGGGCUCCCCGCCCCCCUCGCCUUAAUUUGCUCGUGGGUGGUGGGAGCGGUGUGCCUCUGGUGUGUGCGCUGUGGGUGUGGGGCGUCGACGUGGGCGUCGCCGGACUACGUGCCCGGUGUACCUGCGUUGACGCCUCGCCGGUUUGAUUGCGCCUCGUGCGCUAGUGCGGUUUGCUGUACGUUGGUGGGGCUUUGGCGGGCUUGGGCUUAGCUUCGACUCGCUGUGCAGCUGCCGAGACACGCAUUACGCGAAGACCUGUUGCACGGUUGUGGAAGGUCGGUAGCCAACUGGGGGGAGGGUGGUUUCCUUUCGGGCCGGAGAUGGUCCCUCUUGACCUGGGUGCACGGGCACCCUUGCUUGGUCGGAUUGUCCCUUCUUUGUAAUAUCGCAACCUUAUGUUGCACCGGGACCGUACCCCGCGUGUUGAUACAGCCGAACCAACCUGUCACACAAACCCUCCUGCAACUCCCAUGUGUUCCCUUGCGUUCCCGCUCUAUCACCACACACUCUAUCCCCCUCCCACACUCGCUAUCCCCCCCACACACACACAAUCCCAAGAUCCCUCCCCAACCUCCCCCCCCCCUCCCAUCCUCCCACCCUUCCUCCCACCCUCCUCCCUCUCACCCUGGCGUACAGCUCCUGCUUGGCCGCCGCCAUGUCGGCGCUGGCCCCCUUGCC
rnacentral:lncRNA from 1 species